rnacentral:rRNA from 1 species
UUCUUGCAUAUUCAUUACUUAAUUCUAAUGUUAUAAUAAGUAUUUAUGCUUUAAACAUUAUUGAUGCUAAGAAGACUUGUUCUUCUUACGUUUCCUUUUUGUGAGAUGCUUAAGUGUUUAUCUUAUAAUGUAGUUUUAUCAUGAUUACAGGUGUUGCAUGGCUGUCUUUAGUUCGUGUUGUGAAAUGUUAGGUUAAUUCCGAAAACGAACGCAACCCUUUUCUUUAAUUAUCUGUUGUUUCUUGUUGUAAUAAUUUAUACUUGAUUCUUAUUAAAGAUAUGUCUGCCGAUAUGGUGGAACAAUUAGGAUGAAGACAAGUCCUCAUGACCCUUAUGAAGUGGGCUACAGACGUGCCACAAA